UGGUUUUUGUGUAUUGAAAUAAACAGGACAUUCGAAAUUUUUAACGUUGCGAAUUGGCAACGGACCAUUAGAAUAUCAUAUGAGUGAGUGUUACAAAGAAAGCAAGUGAAGGAAAAAUCAUCUUGC